ACCCUCUGAGAGGCGUAGCUAACGCGUUAAGAGAAGCGCCUGGGUAGUACGGCCGCAAGGCUAAAACUCAAAGGAAUAGACGGGGACUUGCACAAGCAGUGGAUUAUGUGGUUCAAUUCGAUGACAAACGAAGAACCUUACCAGGGUUAGAAAUCCAAGCGAAGACAGGAGGAAACUUCUGUCGUCUCACAAGGACGGUUGGACAGGUGAUGCAUGGCCGUCGUCAGUUCGUGGUUUGAAUUGUUCCCUUAAGUGGGGUAACGAACGCAACCCUCGUUGGCUGUUACAAGUGUCAGCCGAGACUGCCCUAGAUUUUGUUUGCGAAGCAAACAAAAUCAGAAUCAUGAAGCUAGAUUCUGAUUUUGCCUCGUCGGCAAAAUCUAGGGAGGAAGGCGAGGAUGACGCCAGGUCAGCAUGUCCCUUUGAUAUCUUGGGCUACACACAUAAUACAAUCGCCGCUACAACGCGACGCAAUACCGCAAGGUGGAGCAAAUCGUCAGAAAAGCGGCGCCAGUUCGGAUUGAGGUCUGCAACUCGACCUCAUGAACCGGAAUUGCUAGUAAUCGCCGGUCAGCUAUACCGCGGUGAAUACUUCUCAAGU
rnacentral:rRNA from 1 species